AAAAUCAUGAUGAAUGAGGUUUAUAUAACAAUUCCAUUAUACAAAAAUAAAAGGUCUGUAUUGUGAUUUCAAAGCUACUAAACAACAGUGAAUUGUAAUUCAUUCUGGUAAAACUACUGCCAUUCUUCCAAGUAAAACUCACAGUGUUAGGCUGAGAACUGUAUAAAAUGUAGGGAAGGGACCCCUCCUGCAUAAGACUUCAUAAUCACAGCUCAAACUCCUCGUCUUGAAGAGCCAAUGCUGCAGCCUCUUCUUCCUCAUCAUCAAGAACGAAGUACUCAU
rnacentral:misc_RNA from 1 species